GGGGCCAUUUUUCAGAGACCAGUCUGCAUAGUUAAAACCAUAAUGCCAGUUUUCAGAGCCACCCACAACAAUCUUGCUGGGUUCGUUUGUCUUGUUGAGGUGAUAUGGACCAUGGUUAAAACCCCAGCCAGCAGUAUAGUUCCGCUGCUGCCAAUCCUUGUUGGCUGUGCUAACAGCUGCCACCAUGGAAGCAAUUAGCAACAUUGCAGAAAGUGCUUGUGCAAAAUUGGAUCCCAUAUUAAUCCCUUCUAUCAAAUGCAACAGUUGGACGAAGAGAAUGAUAUUUAGCUAGAAGGUAAAAAGCUGAUAUGAAAACUAAGAAGGAAAUGGUGAACUAAGAUGAUGGCAUGCAUGGUACUUAUAGAUGUAGCUAGCUGAUACAGUUUAGUGCAAAACUACCAAAUUGACAAUCCGUUUCUAAAUUGGUGGCUGAUAAGAAUACUGUAGGAGCAAUCAUUUUUUCCUAAUUAAGUCGGUAAGUGCUCCACUUCGAUCAAUUAGUCUCUUUCUUCUUCCCUCUCCCUCAAUUAGAUAGAAUUACAUGUUAUUGGUGUGUACCUAGCUAGCAAAAUCAAAGAAUUACCAUAGUGGGUUGGUAACAGACUAACAGAAGCUUCUCCAUCGGCUGAAGAAGGUCAACCGACGUACCAAAUGAGUUUGAAAGUCUAAGCUCUAAGAUUUUAACAGAACUAAAAUUCGGGAGAACGAAUAAGAAUUAACGCACCAAGUUGAUGGGAAUUAAAGUGUAUUUGUUCUAUACGAUUGCAUGGUGACAUUGGCUGAUCAAGACAAGGUCGUAAUUUAAUUUGGUUGAUUGGUUCCAUCAACGAAUAGAGUUAGAAACCAAAAGGAGCUAUAUACGACUCAUGUAUGAGAGCAUUAAGCUAGCUAGGCAUGAAAGAUAUAUAUCAGCUGUUGGGAAAUUGAUCCCUCCCCACACAAGUGCUAGAAAUUAGAUGGGAAAGAGAAAUAAACAAGUCAAGAAGAACACAAGAUUUAACGAGGUUCAGCUAAUAUCCUUACCUACGUCUUCGGAGAGUAUCGCCUUCACUAAUAAGAGAAUUACACAAGUACAAGAUUACAUCACUCAAGUUUAUGCCCAACCCAAACCCUUGUAUUUAGAAGGAUACCCUGUGUACACCCUCUUUCAACCUAGAAGAUUACUCUACCCCAACAGUUAUUCGCACUCUUGAACACAACUCAACCUAUCUUCUAUACACAAAGACCUUUAGAGUUGCUCCCUUCCUCUCGUUUACUUGCUUCAACACAAACUUCACCUUUUUAUAGCCUUUGAUAGAAGUUUGAUAGAAGUCUCUAGAGUUACUCUAUCAAUGCUCAUUCAUGACCAUGACCAAACCUUCCAUCUUCCUCAUUAUCUCCUUGUAACUCCCUAGAAAGACUAAGAGAUAACUCAUGAAUUUAACAAUACAUAAACUCUUAACGCAUCCACUUAACUAUUCAUAAAUUUCAUGCAUAACUUAUCACCAUGAAUGCACAAACCAAUAACUCUAUGCAUUUAUGCCAUACAUAACUUAUCAGCAUGAAUACACAAACCAAUAACUCUAUGCAUUCAUGUCAUGCAUAAUAUCAAUCUCCACCAUGGAGGGAUAGAUACCAAACCCAACAUCAGCUUACCAAUUACCCAACAUCAGCUUCAAAUACAUAUUUUGUGGGUAAUGCAUGCUUGGUCAAUAGGUACAGAAACUCAAUUUGCUAAAGGUCAGACAAAUUGUUCAAUUGUUUUGUGUGUGUGUGAGAGAUGUUUAUAGGGUAUACGUACAACAUCUCCAACAUAUUCCGGGAACUAUUUUUUUUUGCUUCGCUGCAUUGGCAUCGGAGCCUGCUGGUUGUUUGUAUUUAAGUCCAAAUCAGGACAAAUGUGCUUCUUCAAGCAGUUUUUUCCAGGUCAUUGGUUGCUCCGCCGCAGAUAAAUGCCUGAGGUUGAUAAGGGANAGACUAGCCCUAGUCANNNNNNNNNNNNNNNNNNNNAUAUAUUAUAGGUAGAUCAACGCCUGUGUAUGGCUCCGCUACUGGAAAAUCUAUUACACGUAGCUAGAAAAAUAGUAAGAAAAUAGAUAAACAUAAAAAGAGGUAAAUCACAAUUGUAUAUAAACUGAUCGAGAAUUAAAAAGAGGCACUACCAUGCCGAACAAUAUGUCCCAUAUUGUGGAAGGUUGCCUUCAACAUUUAUCACUAUCAAUAGGAAGUGAAAAAGGCAUAGCAUAUAUUGAUAGUACGUAGAAACAUCUAUGAGAAACACCAUAUAUCAAAAUUACCAUAACAACAAAAAAUACAUAAUCAUAAAACUGUACGUAGAUGAACAAACUAAAAAUACUUCAAAACUACUUUUCUUAGACUCUUAUUAUAUCUCAGCUACUUGAACAAUUACUCUCUUAAUAGAUUUUAUCACCAUACUGUGUUCAAAUUAAGUGGGCUAAAAGAAUCGCUAUGCCUGCUUUGUGGAGGUGGACGCUUCGGAGCUGGUGGGCACUCAACUUGCUCUGGUUUAGGUAAUCUGGAUUCUUUGUCUUUUGGAGUUGUUGAUUUCUUGUUGUUGGCAUCCGUGACUCCAUAAACUUGUGAACUAUCUGAAGAACUCAUCUUUGUUCUCAAAAUAUGAUUGAGAUUCUAAAUCAAAACUUGUUAAUUUGAUGUGAGAAUAACAAGACCAAGAACUCCUAUAUAUAGAGCUGAUUUUUUUUAUUCCGAAGUACAGGAGGAAUGUUAAUACGAUCAGGAAAUCUUUUCCAAACAUAACUGGAAAAUUUUCUUAAUCCCAAAAGUAAAAGGGAAAAGUUUUAACAGAUGUAGUAGUCAUCUAUGGGAGGUCAUUAUACAUAGAGUCUUAUGAAGUUAUAAAUUCAGGACAUACACACGUAGAACAAGAAUACUCCAUCAAUAUUGUAAGACCACUAUUUCGAUAUUUUCUUCUUUUCUUCCAUGAGCAAGUAUUGUUGGUCCACUAGAUUUUAGUAUGGUGUUAUAGUGAGGUUUAAUCGAGUAUUAUGGCCAAAAUUAAGUAAUUUGUUGAGUAAGUAGUGAGGAUUAUCAUAAGAUGAUGAGCAACUGGACAUAAAUUAAAUCAAAUGGGGAUUAUCUAAUUUAUUAUGGUACAUAUAUAGAGCUGAUCGUACAAGAGUAAUUUCUGUGCUAGAACUCCUUUUAUUUAAAUAUGCAUAUACAAUGAAUCAAUGAUGUAUCUAUAGCUAUAAUAUUUUAGGGUUUAGGGUUUAAGGUUUGGAAACUAUUUCAUCAAAAAAAAAAAAAAGGUUUGGAAACUAUGAUUCUAACCAAGAGCUAGACCAUGCACCGAUCGAUGUAAGGAUAUAGUCCUUUAAAAUAGAGAGAUCACUGAAGAGACCACGCACCAUCAUCUUAAAGGGAUCUACAUACUGCCCUCCAAAACUGACUCAUGUAUGUUCGAGACUUCGAGGCUAGCUAGGGCGACUAAAAAGUAAGGAUUUUUUACAGGCGUGUGUGGAUGAGGCAAUUCGCUAAGAAAAUCCUAGGUGCUCAAGGGCGGUACGUUUUGCCUAAUGCUUUCAAGUUAUGCCAACCUCCAUCAGUUGAGUUUGUGUGUUCUCUCAAGUGAUGACAUCUAACAAACUUUUCAUACGAUCGAAUGAAGAAACAUAUAUAUUAUACUGCAUAAUCUAAAUUAAGAAUACAUGCUACGAUAAUUAAUGUAGAAACAUUGUUUUUAGUACGUACACAUCUCUACAAAGAACUAAUACAGGAAAUGAUCGAAUAUACCAAAUAAUGCGCGCCAAGUAUAUGUCAAAACUCUGCAAGUCUUGUUAUUUGCUCAAAGGAAAUUAAUAAACCAAAUACAAAAGAAAAGAAAACGCUUCCAUUGUGGCCAGAAACAAGUAUAUAUCUGCUUUAAUUUCUGUACUAGCGAGACUGCGAAGAUCUCAAACUCUCAGUAAUGCCAACCGCGAAGCUUUGGGAAGACGAAGAACCUCAUCAUUCCGUCUUUACAAUGAACACCACCAUGCUCGCCACAAGCGAAGUAGUAUGGCUGCCAGCUCUUGAGCACAAACUCAAAGCCAUUUCCGCCUCCUUGUGUUGGACUUCCCACCAUCUUGGCCUGGCUUAAGUCGCAGUGUAUGAAGCUCCACAGGUUUGGUAGCAAGUACACGCUGUGAGGACCUGUCGAGUUGGUUGGUGGAUCAUACUUGAAAACUGCAAGCACCCAAAUUAAGCACCGUCAUGAAUAAUACUUGUAAAUCUUCAAAGCAUUGAUAGUAAUGAAGUAGCUAGUCAAACUCACCUAGAGUGUCCUUGACGUAAAAUGAGGCAUUUUUCAGAGACCAAUCUGCAUAGUUAAAACCGUAAUGCCAGUUUUCCGAGCCACCAACGACGAUCUUUUUGGGUCCUUCUGUCUUGUUGAGGUGAUAUGGACCAUGGUUGAAACCCCAGCCAGUGUAGUUCCGCUGCUGCCAAUCCUUGUUGGCUGCGCUAGAUGCCACCAUUGAAGCAAUUAGCAGCAUU
rnacentral:lncRNA from 1 species